AUUGCUUAUAAUGAUAGGAGUUCAUGUCUUGCUGCUGCACUUUGAGAGACCUAAACGUUGGGGAAAUAAGUGAAGUGGGGAGAGUGGACUCGUUUUGAUGAACGUGGCCGUUGAUGAACUGCAACUAUGCAGAAAAUGAGCGUAGAAGAGAAAGAGUAAUGUCCAAAUAACCUAGUUGGUUCAGUUAUUUACAGAUAAAUUGUUACUAACCUUAUCUAGAUAAGAAAUUAGAUUAGUUCUUCAUGAAUAAUAUCGGCAUGACAAAUAAGAACUUGGAUAAUUUUGUAUUUGUUUUAUCAUCAGGUGGAAACUUUUUCUUGUGCUUUAUAUUUUCAUUUUCCCAUUUUCACUAUGCCAUUAUGUUUUUUCAGCUUUUGUAAGAAAAUCCUUUCGUUUGAAGUCCAUUCAUCUAGACUCAGGUUUUGCAAGAGGCUUUCGAGGUUUUGUAAUUGCAAGAUAACACGGGGGUAAAUACCGUUCCAUAUCUCAUUAAAUAUACCAAAACUCAUUCAUGCUUUAUUAUAACUAAGAAUUUAAAGAAGUGGAAGUAACAGCAAUAUUCAUUAUGUGUAUAGGAGAAUCUAUUACGCCAUGACUAAAGAAUUUGAGAGACUCUACAUACAAAAGAAAGAACGGUAACCAGAGCUUUGCCCUUACCUCAGUCCCCCCCCCCAACCAAAAAAAAAAAACUCUUUCUUUAUGGAAUAUUUAUUUUAUAUCAAUCUAUCGCUGUAUAUUAAUAUCAUUUGAAGGUUGUUAUAUGAGAUGCAUCCCUAAAUCACAUCUGUUGAUAUUGUUUCAUGAUGGUUAUCAUCACACUAAGGCAUUGAAGAUCUUUCCUCUGCUUGUGCCCUUGCUCAUGACAUGUUCUAUGAUUGGUUUCUCAUUAUGUCCUGGCAUCUGCAAAGCUUGAAGCAUUUUUAUAACUUACAGACAAUUAAAUGUGGUGUUGCUUGUUUUCUGUGAUGUUUUCAGAUUGGUGGAAGAAGUUGUUUUGAGAAUUUAUAAACGUGAGGUCCAACAAAAGGUUUUGGAAAUUGUUGGUGUCUUUCUGAACGAGUCAAAAAACUUUUAAUUUAAGCUAUUUUUCAGGUAUUCUGGUUGCUUUAAUGUGAAAUUUUCAUUGUUGGCUUUUAGUUCGUUCAAAGAAGUCAGAUCUGACAUUUUACCACAAGGUUCAUUAUAUCAACUUUUUUAACUCUGUUUUUUUCAUUUUAUUCUUAUCUAUCGGUUUUAAUCCAAAUGUCUAUCGGUUAUAAUACAAUGGUGGCUUGGAGAGUUAUCGUAACACCCCAAAAAAAUAUUUUGAAUUUAUCUAUUUAUUUUAUAAUUAUAUAUGUUUAUUAUUAUCGUUAUUGUUUUAUUGCUCUAAACUUCCUCUAUUGUUUUUAUUUUUUAUUUUUUAAAUUUAUAACUAAGCCCAGCCCAUAACCAAUUUAUAAAAACUUUAGUUCUUUAACAAACAAAACCAUCGUUCGGAUAAUGAUAAUAUUAAUAAAAUAAAAAUAAAAGAAGAGGGGAAGGAUAACUGAGACAGAACGAGAAAAAAAUAAAAAUAAAAGAGAGAGAGAACAGGAAGAAAAAGAAAUGGAGGGAAAGAGAGCAAUUGGAUUUUAGAGAGAAUAGUUGUGCAUUUAAGGGAGCUGAGAACAACGGCAAGUAUUAAAUUUCUGGGAAACCAACAUGGGUUUGGCUGGAUUUUCUCAUAACUCUUAUUCUUUAGACCUGGUUUGGGUAAGUGUCUGUGCAUGCAUGAUUCAAUUUUGAAAUCUUCUUACUUUUAUUGAUGAAUUUUUUUUCACUUAAUUUUCUUAAUUGUUUCCUUGCUGCUGCUGUAACUUUCAGCAAGUUUAGGAUUGUGUUGAAUUUGGGAUCCUUAAAUUAUUGGCAGAAGAGUUGGUUAAUUUUUGUUGCAGUAUUACCAGUAGGAAGUGGAGUUAGAGAAGUGUUUGGAGAGCUAGGAGCUGUUGGUGCAGGAUUUAAGGUAUGUGGUUAUAUGCAAUUGAGUGAUUUUGUUACUCAAAACUGAAAAAUCAGGUUGUUUUUCUUGCUUGAUAAUCUGAAUUUUUAUUUUGGGUCCUUAUAAGUUGUUUUCCGUAGAUUUAAUGUGUUAAUGGCUUAAUUGCUUCCUUUAAGAAUUAAUGCAGUGGGUGUGUGGUUAGCCAUUUAAUUACAUGACUACAUGGCUAAAAUAAAAAAUUGACAUGCUAGAAUUAUCACAGGAUUGCGAGUUUUAAUUGAAGACCAUGUAUUGAAAUUACUUGAAUCAGUUAAUUUGGGUUGAUGCAGUCAUGAAUGAGAAUUGAACUUUACGGCGAUAUGAGCCAAGUUUGGAAUAUGUAGUGGUGCUGAAUUGUGUUUAUGUAUCCUGCAAUGAUAUGGUGCUUUGAUUGCAUUUAAGUUUGUGGAUGUGGUGUUAAACUGGGGAUGUGCUGAGAUUCUGUUAUCUAUGGCUAUUAUUAUUGAGAAAUAUCAUGGAUGUGGUGUGUUAUUGUAAGGAAACUUACAUUGAUGCUAUUGAAUGAGUUAAUAAUUUUUAUUCCUUUCAUUCAAAAUGAAGUUUGAGAAGGUUGAUUGGUCAUGGACAGACUCCUGUCCUGCAGUGAAGCUCGCAAAGGAAAUUAUGGGCGAGGGCCCUUGGGAAUAAUGCCCCAAAAGUACGCUAUGCUGAAUUGACAUUGUUCAGAUUUCUAAAGUCUGCAAAAGAAAUCAUUGGCAGUGGCCCCUGGGGAUAGUGCACCAAAAGUACGUUGGGUAUUUCUUUUUAAAAUUAAUAUUGGGUGAAAAUGUUUGCUCGGGAUUACAGCUUACUGACUUGUCAGGCAUGUUUUUAUUUUAUAUUAUUGAAAGAGUAAUUUUAGGAUUUCUUUACACGUAACUUCAGAAAGUAUGAGCAACCCUAUAUUGGUAAGUGUGUAUGUUGUUAUGAUCUUGUCUUAUGAUGUUUCUGUUGAAUACCAAAACUUUCAAACUUAAAAGGUUUUAAGAAACAUAUAUAUCUUUGUAUAUUUUUGUUAUUGUUCUGGUUGUACUUCGGCAUUGCUGGCCUAGUAAACUUUGUAAGCUACCUUGUUGCAGAUAUUAUACUUUUUAAUACAUGUAUUUAGAAUGACUACGCAACAUCAGUAGGAUGCACUUAUAUCUGUUAGUGUUGUAGUGAUAGGGUCCCAGAGACCCCAAAUGUUGUAUUGACUGAUAUUUUGACGCUUUAAGCAGCUGGGUAUUAAAAUUGUUGGUUUGAUAUAUUGGAUAAUAUCCAUAUUUUAGGGGAGAUAUUGUCAAAUUUUUCUUGAAGUACUGGGUUUUAUUCAUCUCUAUUAGUAUAUGUUUGUUCUUGUAACCAAACAGUCACAGCUUAAUUGUUAAAUGCGUAUACUUGCACCUGAUGUAGAUAAAAUUUUCUUAUUACAAGUGCCCUUAAGUUAGGGGUGCGACAGUUAUUAAUUCAGCUAAUAAAAAAUAUCAAUGUUAAGAAUCCAAAUGAUUUAGCCGAUGAUGCAUAAUACUAGCUGAAGUAUGCUACUUAUAGCACGUAGGAUGAAAAAAUUUCUUUUAAUGCUCUCUCUUGGAAUAACUUGAAAUAGUUCAAGUUGCAUCCCAUGUUCAGAAUGAAUGAAAUUUGAUCAUUUCAGUAUGUGAGAACCUUAAGCUUGGUAUUUACCUUUUGGGUUAAAUAAAUGCAUCAUUCCAAUUCCAUAGGUUUGAGCAACUGAGUCUGGCAUAAAUCGUAAAUUCUGAAACAAUAUUUGAAUUAGUGUAUAAUUAUUUUAUUCUAUGGUUAUUUCAUUUUUUAUUUUUAUAAGAAUACUAUGGUUGUUUCAUUGGUUGAAACUUGGAACUUGAAUGGUUCUAUGUGAACUGAAAUGGUUGUAUUUGUUUGGAGAAAAAAGAGGGGACUGUUGUACUUUGUGGUCAUUUUUGUGCCCUUAUUUAUAGUUGCUAUGGGGAGAUUAUCUCUAAAGAAAAAGGGUUUUGUGACUGGCAAAAUACGUUAAUUUUACAUGGUUUAUAAUUAGUAAAUGAUAUGUUGUUUCUCGCUUCAGCCCCCUUCUUUGCUGAUGAUUAACUUGUAAUGUGCAGGCUUAUACAAACAGGUUUUGAUACUUCAGCUGAUUAGGGUAAUUGCGUACUUUCAUGGCCUGUGGGACUGGGACUCGAACCCACGCUUAUACAAACAGGAGUUGACCAGUGCGGUAUACUGGCGACUCUAUCCCUACUCACAUCAGUGUGUUCCUUAAGUUGCCGAAAGCCAAGUGACUGUGAAAUAUACAUUUAUGAUAGAUGGCAAAGCGGUUGAAGUUUAAGUAAUAGAAAACUUAUGUUAUUAUUAAAGACUGAAUUUUAUAUGGAUCUUGAUGAAACAUGUGUUUUAGGCGGAAUUUUAUUUCCAAUUCUGCUUUGGACAAAUCUAAUUUUUCUUUUUCAUUGAGGAAUGAAAAAUUUAGUUUGUUUUAUAAUUUAGAAUUGGUUGGUUUUGGUUCUUUGUCUGGUUAUGAGAAUUUUUAUUUGAUCAAUAUAAUUACUUUAUUUAAUGAAUUUCAACAGUAAUGUAAAUUCGGUUGUAUUAUAACACAAGAGAUUAGAUCAUAUCCUAAAAAAAAUAAAUAAAGAAAUUUGUGUUAGAUGAAAUUUUAAAUCCUUAAAUUUUAUAGAUUUUGAUGUUUGUAUUGAUUGUAUAAGAAGAAAAACAAACUAAUAAAAGGAUAUUGGCCUAGUGAGACCAUAGGUAUUAUAACAAGUGUUGCGGGCUCGUGACACCAUCGUUUGUUACAUGGGGAUUGCUUUUUUUUUUUUUUAAUUGUAUUUCUAUUUUUACUUUUUUUAUUAUUUAAUGGGGAUUUCAAUUCUCCAAUGGCCGGGAAAAAUGCAAACGAGAGGCCCACCAGCCUACUUGUUAAAAAGAGAUAAAAAAAUGCUGUCGUCUUCCAAAUUACUGCCCUCGGCUUUCAAUUUUUAUCCUUUUUAACUUUCUGUCUCUUUUUUUCAUUUGCCUCAAACGAAAAAGUUGGUCAUGGUUAAAUGGUGAAUAUAUGGACGUUUUGUGAGGGAUUCAGCUUGUUCUUAAUACAUUCUUCGGUAAUUUCCAUUUUGAUUUGCAUGAUCGGUAACAGCGUAGCUACAAAAUUUGGCACUUAUGGUGCUUAUUGUUUAAUUUAAUGAUAUUGAUAUCGUACGUUCUUGUGUUUUGUAACAAGGGUCAAUUUGUUAGCAGGACGAAGGCUUGGUGUUAUAAGACUAGGAGGACGAUCAUAAAGAAAGUGCUGAAGAUGAAGUAGAGAAGGUUAUAAUAGAGGAGAAAAGGGUCUGUUCAAGUGGGUUAGCUGAUGGAAAUAUUCCCAGUCUCAAUCUUACUACAGGCUUAUUGGCAUCUUCCCCUCAGAAACCUGAAGACACAGAGUCCUCCAGAAGGUUAAGAAUUCAGAACAUAUUUACUCUUUGUGGAAACAACAGGGAGCUUUCUCAGCACACGAGAACACCAGUACCAGCAAAAAGGAAUGCUGAAAACAUUGAUCCUCUUGCUUGUCGAUUGAAAACUGUUAGCAGUGUCCCCAUGGUGGAACCUGUAAUGGCAUUGGCUUCAAAGGAGAAUUACAACCCUUCUAGUAAAAGCAAUGAUGUACAGGUUGAAGUGUAUGCUGCUUUUACUUGGUAAAUUCAAAUUUUUAAACUGAUUUUUUUCACUAACUUGCAUUGUUCUUUUAUGCAGGAACCUACUGUCUUUGCCAGCCCAAUGCCAGUGAAUCCAAUUGAAAACAAGCUGUUCACUUCGACUCCUCCGCAUCUAAGUUCAACCCCCUUCAUUACUCUUAAAAGGGGCAUUAGUCGAGUGCAGCGUGUGCUGGGUGUUUGAGUGAGUAUAUUACAUGUGUACUCAGCAAACAAUGUGAUUUUGUGGAUAAUCGGAUGCGCUUGUAUUGUAAUUAUAUAUGUAUAGUUGAUAUGUUUCUCUUGAUGGUAAAUCAGUGUCCAUUUUUUUAAACAACUGUAGGUUGGUAAACAAUUUCAGCUCAUCUCCUGAGUUGAGACAUUCUGAAGCUUAUCUGAUGAGCUGGCGCUUGAAUUAUCUUUCUUGUCUACCGACAAGUGCUCCUCAUUAUCCAAAUUUCCUCUUCUUUUGGUUUACUAAAGUGCGGAAAACUCGCACAUUUUUGUUAUUGAUCAUCUUGCAUUUGCAAUGACUGAGGGGUAAGAACUUUUGGACACACUUGUUUAUGUAAGAACAUUGGCGAACCUGUAAUGUAAUGCUAAUUAAUGUCUUCAAAAGUGAAAGCACUGAUUUGCACAAGUUUGUGUGAAAUGGUGACGUCUGGUUUGAAUUUUGUAAUGAGCGGUGGCGUUGGGUCCCUCUGAAAGUGACCCGUUGUUGAAAGUGACCCGUUAUUGCAACUAGAUUAUUAUUUAUUCUUGAUUAUUUUUUAAUACUGAUUUCACAUCAUAUUAAAAUCUAGAUAAAUAACCCUUACAGCGAAAGGGUAUAUUUGUUCUACUCGUAUUUCAUAAAAGAGAAAGACUUACAAACUAUUGUUGAUUUUUUUUAAUAUUAAUUUCACAUCAUAUUAAAAUUCAGAUAAGUAACCCUCACAGAGGAGGAGUUUUACUCUAUUCGUAUUUCGUAAAAGAGAAAAACUCACAAACCGUUAUUAAGUUUUUUUAAUAUUGAUUACACAUCAGAUUACUGACAAGUAACCCACAAAGAAAUGAUGUCUAUACUCCACUCGCAUUUCGCAAAGGAGAAAAACUUACAAAUAAACCCCACAAUCAUUUAUAAUGCUAAAGAGAAAGACUUACAAACCGUUAUUAAGUUUUUUUAAUAUUGAUUACACAUCAGAUUACUGACAAGUAACCCGCAAAGGAAGGAUGUCUAUACUCCACUCGCAUUUCACAAAGGAGAAAAACUUACAAAUAAACCCCACAAUUAUUUAUAAUGCUAAAUUGAGAGAGUUUUGAGUUCAGGAACCCUACCUUCACAAUCUUUCUUAACUCUAAAAGUAAGGAUUCACCGUUGGGCCAAAUGGCCAUUGGCUUAUUUAUUCUUGAUUAAACUUUCUUGAAGGACAAAAUAAUCUGCUCCAUUCACGUAAUUGUAAUGAAAGCAGCCUGUUUUUGCAUCAAAAUUAUUUUGAGAGUAUAUAAUUUAUAAAAUUGAAAACAAGCUGUUGCUUUCGAAGACUCCACUUCAAAUCAUUUUUCUGUUCAGUGUUAGAAUAAGUUGUCCAUGAUUGGAAGCUCUAGACUACUCUUUUAUUUUGCAAGCUUGAAUUUAUUUACAAUUCAUCUCUUCUUUUAUCCCUUUCAGAUAGAAGCCUGUUUCUUGAACCAAGCACAGCAUUCCCUUUAUUUUCGGGAACGAGCCAAGAAGCCUCCUAUUAUCCAUCCAUAUUUUUAUUUUCAUUUUUUAAUCUCUGAAGAAAUCAACGUUUUCUAAGAAGAAGUUGGAGUGUAAUACGUAGUCAAUAGCCAAAUUAAAGCAAAUUUAACUUGAUGAAAAGGACUUGCCAAAUUAAUCAUGAAAAGGACUUCAAUAUUUUGAUACACGCAUCUAUUUAGUGGAAGGUAUACUAUUCAUUACUUUUCUGCACAAUUUUUCCUUUUCCUCUCAUAAUUUGAAAAUAAACCUUGGCUUUAGGGAAAAGUGCUGAUGCUUUGUAGGUUCAAUUCAAAUCUGUCAUCCACAUUUGGCAGAUGUAUGGACACGUCAAUCGUCAAGAAUUUAGAUGUCCUCAAAUAGUUACAGCACUUACAUGCCCAAGUUUGUGAGUUGGACCACAAAGUCAAGACAAAUUGGAUCACAAAAUUCACGUAACACACUAACGUAAAAGCUAAGAGGUGACCUCAACCUUCAUGCACAAAUUCCAGAAUAUCAUGGCCUAGCCACCAGAAAAUUGAAAGCAUCUUUUACAUUUAUAUUCCAUAAUAUUUCAUCAGAGGUAAUCCCGGCUCACAAAAUCAAGACAAAUUGUGACUUGUCAAAAACUAUAAAUCCUGGAUCAGGAUUCUAUUUUGUGUAUGACUUAUGUUGGAUAUUAUUUAUUUUUUUCUCCUUUCUUUUUGAUUACAUAGUUUUCCAUUCACAAAACACUUGUUAAGUCGCUUAUGAGGAGCUACAGCCCACGGGGAAACACUGGUUGAGGUUUAAUCUUUUUUAUUUAAAUAAGAAGGAUUUAAUAAGAGUUAAAUAAAAAAGAGUGAAAUUAACUAAGCAUGGGUUAAGUUAAACAGAGGCAACCAAAAUUCUCUAAAGGGUACUGAAAAUAUUUAUUUCGUCAUAAUAUCGUGGAGCUUAAACUCCACCACAAUUAUUCAACUCUGCCAUUGCCAAAUCUCAUCCAUAAUAAUUAAACUCAAUCAUCUCUGCCAAAUCUUAUCCAUCCAUAUUUUAAUUUUGAUUUUUUAAUAUAAAUUUAUUCUUUUUAUUGUUUUUUUAUUUUGAUUUUUUUAAUAAAUUUAUUCCAUAAACUACAAUUUGUUUCCCAGUUCAAAAAAAGUAGAAUGACUAACUAAAAAUAUAAAUAAAGCAACCAAUGAAUCAUUAGUUAAGAUGACAAAGCCGACCAAGAUUUUGUCCAGGCAAGAUGGCAAAUCGUUUUUGAGAAUUCGCCACAAAUAUUGAGAAUUCGCAACAUUUAAGAUGGCAAACUGUGUUGAGAAUUCACACGACAUUCGCUUUUUCUUUCGGGAGGGGACCAAGCCAAGAAGGUAACCAACCAACGAGCAACCUCGUUUUGUCCAUCACAUACGUUGGUGUGAGCCGACUUUGAGAUUUAUUUAUUCCUGUCAUCAUUUUUUGACUUUUAAGGCAAUAAAAAGUUACGGGCAACUUUUUCCAAAGCUUGACAUCCUUUCUUUGGCAACUUCUCCUCAGGCAACUUUUUCCAAAGCUUGAUGUUGAUGCCCUCUCUUUCGCAACUUCUCCCCUUAUAAAGCCUCAGACUCCCAGCAUUUAAAAAUCCCCCUUACUGUAAUUCAUCUAUUCUCCCUCUCCUUCUUCUUCUUUCUCUUUCUCUCAUUCUUUUCAGCUCAGUCAUCUCUGCCAACCCUUAUACUCACAAGCAUGGAUUUUUCAAUUGAUUUGAGGUUUUUGUUUCCGCCAUUGCUAAAUCUUGUCAUCUUUUUUCUGUUCCUCAGGUCUCUGGAUGGCAUCUCUUGGGACGUCCAAGAUGGUACCAAUAAGAUACUCUUGUAUCCAAUUUUAAAGCUUCAGUUCUGGUUCCUGAUCCCUGCCGUCGUCAUCCCAUUACUGCUCUUCCUCCUCACACCCAUCAGACUCACCCUCAAUGUGAGCCGCUCCAUUUCCGUGAGUUGUGGAGAACCCUCGGUUCUGUUGGCUAUCUCGGUGGUUGCGUCUGUCUUUGUGGCUCCGUCUCUGUUCUUGGUAGCGUAUUUGUGCCUCAUACUCUUAUCACUCUGUUAUGCAACGUUGGCUUCUCUGCUUAGGCGCUGCUUCUACUGGUUUCGAAAUCUCUUCCGCAAUUUCUUCAUUCGCGGUCACGCAGUUGAAGGGAACCACAUCCAAGACCAGCAGCCAAGUUCUACUGAUGAUCGUGAGAAUAACCUGGAAAUUGUUCUAAGUUUGAUAUAACGUAAUAUGAUACUGCUGGUGCCACUGUGGGAUGACUGGGGUCCCAGUGCCUAUUGUAAUAUAUGUAUAUGUGUGUGUGUGUGUGUGUAUAUAUGUAUAUAUAUAUGUGUGUAUACGUAUGUAUGCAUGUAUGUAUGUAUGUCAUCUUUCCAUUUUAUAUAUAUAUAUAUAUGUGUGUGUGUAGUCGUUGUGUUGUAUAUCCGAACAAGUUUUAGCAGUUGUGCUGUAAAAGCUUAGUUGAAAAGCACUUUUACCGGUAAUAGACACAGGCUACUUUCUUUCUUCCAUUUUAUUAUUAUUAUUAUUAUUUUGUUUUAGAAUUAUGAUCCAACUGUCCACUUAGCUCCUAUAUUUAGAUUCUGUGUCCAAAUUUAUAUUCUGUUUCUAUGAAGAUGAAAAAGGGACUGUUUAACUACCCUGAAUAUUAAAUGUAUAACGACCCACGUCUCAGGGAUACUUUAAUUAUUUCUAAAGGUUAUUUUGGUCUUUCACUUCAAUAAUUGAAAUCCCAUAUCACCCAAAUCCCUAAACAUUCCUUCGACGAUCGUCAAAACCAACCCAAACCCAAAGCCAAACAUUUGCAUCGUCGCUGGUGCAAAAUCCGCUCAUCUCAGCUGAUCGGCGUCGCUCGGCAUAGAAGUACAGUUUUUUUUUUAAUUUCUAUUGAAUUUUUAUAAGAAAUUUCUUUCUGUUAUUCAUUUCUCUUUUCCUUUUGCUUAUCGUUGAUGAGUGAUUCUUUGUUUAACUGAAUUUGAUUCGAUUUUAGAGGUCUCUGAUAUCUCAUUGAGGUCAUUUUGUGCCUACUUCACUUGAUUGAGUUAAUUUUCCUUGUUUUUGUGAAUUGACAGCUUCUUGUUAUUUAUAUGCUGAAGUCAGUUAAUUGUUCCCCCAACGAAUGAUGUGAUAUCAGAAAAAUAAAUUUGUCUAACAUGGGUAAGUAACGCGUGUGUUUUGAUGAAAGGGGUGAAAACAGAGAGUGUGGCAAUGAGUAAUGGAGAUUUUCUAGCCAAAUAUGGUGGUGGAUUCUUUGGGUGGGCUUUAUAUUGCUUAUAGUGAUAGGAGUUCAUGUCUUGCUGCUGCGCUUUGAGAGACCUAAACAUUUGGGAAAUAAGUGAAGUGGGGAGAGUGGACUCGUGUUUGCGAAUGUGGCCGUUGAUGAACACUGCAAUUAUGUAGAAAAUGAGUGUAGAAGAGAAAGAGUAAUGUUGUAAUAACCAAGUUGGUUCAGUUAUUUACAGAUAAAUUGUUACUAACCUUAACUGAAAAAGAAAUUAUAUUAAUUCUGCAUGAAUAAUAUUGGCAUGGCAAAUAAGAACUUGGAUUAUUUUGUAUUUGUCUUAUCCGAUGGAAACUUUUUCUUUUGCUUUAUAUUUUCAUUUU
rnacentral:lncRNA from 1 species